GUUUGAUGUGUUCUGAAAGUUGGAGUAUUGUGGUUUUGUGAUUGUUCUGGUAUUGACUUCUGCCUGUUUUUGACUCCAAGCUUGGUUUACCCUUGGAUUUGUUGCUGUGUUACACAUUGUAUAUAUACCUACGGUAUAUUUCACUGUAAAAUUGUAGGGGUGUGGCUGCCACUUUUCUUUGGGAGUGGGUUCUUCCCCUGUGUGUUUUGGUAGGGAGUUAGGGAAGUACAACUGUAUUUUUCUUUUCUUUGCUUUAAGGUAAGGAUAGUUAUUUAACUAUUAGACCUUUUUGUUUAUUAUUUUGGCCUUGGCCCACCUUGAAGAGACACCAGUAUACUGUCAUCUGUAAAUUAUACACAAAUACACUUACGUAGAAAUUCUACUGUGUGUUGUUUCUUUUGGUAAUUUAUAAAGGUAUCUAAUCACUGAAUCCCGAGCUAUAACACUGUGCAGCCCAACCCAAGACUGGGUUGUAACAGGUGAAAAGACCCAACUUUGUUCUGUAAGAUUCUCUAAUCUGUCAAACAUAUUUUAUUAGAUUGUCCUGGACUUUGUAGGAGAAAAACGACUCCAACCUACAUUGGCCCAGGCUAGCUCCUGCAAUCUGACUAUAAGUUUAAACAACAGUUCUAAGUAAAAAUUCAAAGAAGAAAUGAUCAGCCAAACUCACGAAGACUGGAUUCAGUUGAGACUCAUUCUCUUUUCUGUGGUCUUCUUCAACACAACUCAACAUAACACACUUGUUCAUGGCUUCAAUCUCCGCAUCGGUAGCACACCUUUUGGAUGAAACUGAUCUUUCUACACCGUCACCUACUGCUGAUCUUCUCACUGAGGUCAUUACUCAUUAUAUCCAGGAUAUGGAGAGUCGUGGUCGACCCAGCGACACAUCUGCUGUUAAGGGGGUCGAUGUCUCAACACAGACUGCUACAGUUGUCACCAAGUCUACUCAGACUCUUCCAACUCCAUCCACACGCACUCAGCCUACUCAAGCUCCAUGGCGUGUUAACAAAAAGACUCAAUA